rnacentral:misc_RNA from 1 species
UUGCAACAACCUCACGGAAGGAGGGGCGGAGAGCGACGAGGAGAUACGGCGGGUGCCGGAGAUGGGCGGCGCGUCGGCGUCGGCCUCGUCGGGCGCCUGUGCGGACGAGCGUCCCAAGGGGGAGGACGACAAGCAGGGGCAGGUGGCGGCAGGGGCACAGCCUCCGGCGGGCGGGAAGAAGCGCGGGCGCACCGCGGGGAGAAGCGGCUGCUGCGGAACCGCGGCCUCAGCUACAAGCCUAGCCUGGCCACCGUCCCAGCCUGCCAGGCCGUCAACGUCGCCGACCACGCCUGCACCAAGACCGCCAGCUUCGACGUUAGCGUGACCCAGUAUCUCAUUCACCUGGUGCUCCCUCCUCAUCACUUCGAUGGGAGGUUGAAGGAACCAGUAUCUCUAGAUUACAUUGUUGAGAUGUGGCAUCCUGAGGGAUAUGGUUGA